AUAGGCAAGAGUCCUGAGUCUGG
rnacentral:misc_RNA from 1 species